UACGUAGGGUCCGAGCGUUGUCCGGAGUUACUGGGCGUAAAGCGCGCGCAGGCGGCGGUGCUGGCCCGGCGUGAAAGCCCCCGGCUCAACCGGGGGAGGGUCGUCGGGGACCGCACCGCUUGAGGGCGGUAGGGGCUGGUGGAAUGCCUGGUGUAGUGGUGAAAUGCGUAGAGAUCAGGCGGAACACCCGUGGCGAAGGCGGCCAGCUGGGCCGUCCCUGACGCUGAGGCGCGAAGGCGGUGGGGAGCGAACGGGG
rnacentral:rRNA from 1 species